CCUACGGGUUGCAGCAGUGGGGAAUAUUGCACAAUGGGCGCAAGCCUGAUGCAGCCAUGCCGCGUGUAUGAAGAAGGCCUUCGGGUUGUAAAGUACUUUCAGCGGGGAGGAAGGUGUUGUGGUUAAUAACCACAGCAAUUGACGUUACCCGCAGAAGAAGCACCGGCUAAUUCCGUGCCAGCAGCCGCGGUAAUACGGAGGGUGCAAGCGUUAAUCGGAAUUACUGGGCGUAAAGCGCACGCAGGCGGUCUGUCAAGUCGGAUGUGAAAUCCCCGGGCUCAACCUGGGAACUGCAUUCGAAACUGGCAGGCUAGAGUCUUGUAGAGGGGGGUAGAAUUCCAGGUGUAGCGGUGAAAUGCGUAGAGAUCUGGAGGAAUACCGGUGGCGAAGGCGACUCUCUGGUCUGUAACUGACGCUGAGGAGCGAAAGCGUGGGUAGCGAACAGGAUUAGAUACCCUGGUAGUC
rnacentral:rRNA from 1 species